rnacentral:rRNA from 1 species
UACGGAGGAUGCAAGCGUUAUCCGGAAUGAUUGGGCGUAAAGCGUCCGCAGGUGGCAAUGUAAGUCUGCUGUCAAAGCGUCUGGCUCAACCAGAUAAAGGCAGUGGAAACUACAUAGCUAGAGUAAGGUAGGGGUAGAGGGAAUUCCUGGUGUAGCUGAAAUGCGUAGAGAUCAGGAAGAACACCGGUGGCGAAAGCGCUCUGCUGGACCUUAACUGACACUGAGGGACGAAAGCUAGGGGAGCGAAUGGG